rfam:Prunus persica cultivar Lovell chromosome G6, whole genome shotgun sequence.
CGAGCAUCGGUGAUGAUUUUCUUUAAUCGUUAUCCUUGCACUAUGAUUGCCUGUGAAGAAAACCAUGGGGAAGUUAUAUUCUGAGAUGCUU